CUUGUUUCCUUUGAAAGUUACACCUCAUCGGAAACGGAGCUCAUCUCUGUAAGACCAAAAGCACGUGAGAGCGUUUAACACCUCUCUCAUCAUGUUGAGUCACUGUUCACUGAUAUAAAAAGCAUAUCAAUCCUCUUCAAAUCAACUGAGAUAUUUGUUGGCUGAACCUUUGGCUGACAUGAUCCUAAAGAUAAUGUUUUCUGCAGGAAACCAAUUCACAGAAGAUGCUGCCAGAUCUGCUGCGUUUUUCCUGCGUUUGCUGGUUGUUAUUAUUAUAAAUUACCAUUUCAUAAUAAGCACGAAGCCAGACAGUACAUGGACAAUUUAGCUUGCCUGGCAGUAAUUGAAAAAUGUCUAAACUAGGUUUUCUACUCAUCCUUCAUAGGUGGCUUGCUAAUAUUGAUUACAUGAUAACAACUGCAACAUUUAAAUGUUGAUAUUCUGAGAUUGCAGAUCUUGCCUGUCAAUUGCAUGGUUGCCUAAUAUCUGUCUUAGUAGGUGAAACUCCCCAUCAGAAAUGGGAACUCAAAACAUUUUCCUCAUUACUUCUGGUUUGGGAUGUGGAAGAGGAGAAGAUGACUGAAGGUCAUAAUAGUUAACAUCAUAAAUAAAGCAAUAUUAUUUCUCUUUUGUCUAAAAUAGUUGACACAAAGUUACAGAGAUCGACA